rnacentral:rRNA from 1 species
AUACGUAGGGUGCAAGCGUUAAUCGGAAUUACUGGGCGUAAAGCGUGCGCAGGCGGUUCGGAAAGAAAGAUGUGAAAUCCCAGGGCUUAACCUUGGAACUGCAUUUUUAACUGCCGGGCUAGAGUAUGUCAGAGGGGGGUAGAAUUCCACGUGUAGCAGUGAAAUGCGUAGAGAUGUGGAGGAAUACCGAUGGCGAAGGCAGCCCCCUGGGAUAAUACUGACGCUCAUGCACGAAAGCGUGGGGAGCAAACAGGAUUAGAUACCCUGGUAGUCCACGCCCUAAACGAUGUCAACUAGCUGUUGGGGCCUUCGGGCCUUAGUAGCGCAGCUAACGCGUGAAGUUGACCGCCUGGGGAGUACGGUCGCAAGAUUAAA